GGCUCCAUAUCUCAGUGGUUAUAUCUCUGGUAUUGUAAACCAGUGGUUGCGAGUUUAAUUCUCACUGGGGUCU
rnacentral:tRNA from 1 species